ensembl:snRNA U6 U6 spliceosomal RNA
AUGCUUGCUUCGGCAGCACAAACACUAAAAUUGGAACAAUACAGAGAAGAUUAGCAUGGCCCCGGUGCAAGGAUGACACCCAAAUAAAAGUAGGUUGAAAGUCACUU